UUACCCCAUGUUUUUCCUUCGAAUUUUCUCUAGAGAAUGUUACUAGAAUUGAUUCACAUUCUUGAUUCUAAUGCUUCUUUGAUUUUUUGCUGCCUUUGUCACGUCCUGCAUAAUUCUAUUCAUUCUAGUAUUUGUUGAGAAAAUAUAAGAAAACUCUUGGGAUCAUUAUUUGGGACCCGAGAAAUCUAAAACCUCUGCCUAUGAAAAAUAAAAAUAAAAUAGAAAGAGAGGAAGAAAUUUAUAUGCACACAGGAAUGGGUUUGUUGAUUCAAAGUAAACCUUUUUCUAUAUUUCUUCUUGCAAGAAUUACCGAUUGAUCAUUGAAUUUAACUUGAGUUUCUGACAUUCUAUGUGGUAUAGUGCUGGCCGAGACAUUGAAUUAGAAGCUAUAUGGCUAUUCUUUUGAACCCACAUAAAUUUUCCAAUAAAUAUCUCCAAGAAAAUAACAGGGCAGUCCAUAGGACAGAUGCUUGAGCCUUUGGGAAACUUCACUUUUAGAUACAUGAAUAUCUUAAGUGGGUCAAGUGAGGUCACUGGACAGUGAGCUCCAACCCCUACCAUGUGCAUUGUGUCCCCUCACUUUUUGCCUCUGCUUCAGGCACCAUUUUGAGGCCUAAAUGUAGAACUCAGUUCCCCCUUUAACUUUUAGGAUCUCAUAUUAAGGACUGGCAUUGCUGUUCUUGCUGUCUUUAAGGCAGCUUUAUCCUAAGAAAAGAGGCAGAGAAAUGGAAAGUUUAUACAUUGUUGCAAGUUUUUUUGCUUUUUCUUUCCUUCUUUUUUAUUUAUUUUUUAUUUUUUUUAUUUUUUUUAAACUGAGUUUUCCAUGGUAGAGUAUUUAGUGUUUGCUUUUAUUAUUAUAAUGUUGUUGUCUCCCAUUCUAAUGUUACUAAAUUUCAAAGGUUAGGAUGAGGGUGAGAGUCAAUCGUCUAGACGGAUAAGCUAUGCACCCUGCCUAAUAAGCCAAGUCGGAGAGAGAACUUGUCUUGGUCUCUUAUCAUUCAUAAGGUUUCUGAGAGAUAUUUUCACAUGGUUUUAGAACUGACCAUGAAAAAUGAAAUGGGCGGAUUGUGUUCAACUAUAGCUGGAGUUCAGCCCAGGUAGAUGGCCUAUCCAUCAACUAUAGUUGUUUUCAAUUUAUUGCUGGAUAUUGCAUUUGUUUUCCAAUUCUUAUGAAUCCCAAGAUUACAUUGGACCCUGUUAGAGCUCAUUACCAUUGUGGGGUCUACGCACUACCACAAGGAAAUGUAAAUUCACAAUUACCAGUUAAUCUUUACCUCUUAUUGUUAUUUUUUCCAUUUAUGUUCCUAAUCAUGUUUAUCAAUUAGUUAUUUCUUUUGUGGCCCAACAUCUUUCAAUUUUAAACCUUAUCUUUCUCUGUUAAUGAUGAAAUAGAAGUUUUCAUUAUGCCUUCACAUGUUUGAUGUUAGCCAAGAAUCCAAGUAGGUGAUGGUUUUACUUCUCUCUUUCUAGUGAACUCACUGUCUUCAACAGUUGACAACAAGCUUGCCCUAAUUGUAAUUAUUUGCAAAAUGUUAGCCCUUUGAUUUUAGGGUAUUGAGUGAAGGAACAUCAUGAAGUUUCUGGGUUGGUACUUGAAGAUUGCUGCAGUUUCAACUCUGAUUGGAGCUUCAAUGGAGUUGUUCAUGAUCAAGACUGGCUUCUAUGAUAAAGUGACUGUUUUGGAGUCGGAGAAGCUAGCUUGGGAGGGUUCCACAGAAGCUCAGGCUGUUAAAGAAGCUCUCAAUCCUUGGAGACAUCAGGAUGCCAUAGAGAGAAAAGAUUCCUAGCUUUCUCAGUUUUUGAGGGAGAAGAUGGAUAAUGGCGGAAGAAGGUCAACAUGAGCUAUAAUGCUUGGAGAUGCAUUAUCAUCCUUUACAGCUAUGCUGCAUGUUGUUUAGUGGAAUAACUGAACUGGCACAUUAUAUUAAUUUUGAAUUUUUUUAAUCCAAUAAAGUAUUCCACAUGUGGCAGAGUUUUUGGAAAAUAGAUGUGACGCUUGUUGCUUGGUGGUUUUUUUUUUUUUUUUUCCUCUCAAGAAAUUCGAAAUUUACAUUUUUGUGCUCUCGAAGAAAAGCCCUGGCACGUUCUUUGUAUUGCUUAUGUUGGUCCUUUUUGUAAAAUUCAUGGCUUUUAAUCGGCUGGAAUUUUCAGGCC